rnacentral:rRNA from 1 species
AACGAACGCUGGCGGCAUGCCUAACACAUGCAAGUCGAACGAGACCUUCGGGUCUAGUGGCGCACGGGUGCGUAACGCGUGGGAACCUGCCCUUAGGUUCGGAAUAACUCCCCGAAAGGGGUGCUAAUACCGGAUAAUGUCUUCGGACCAAAGAUUUAUCGCCUUUGGAUGGGCCCGCGUUGGAUUAGCUAGUUGGUAGGGUAAAAGCCUACCAAGGCGACGAUCCAUAGCUGGUCUGAGAGGAUGAUCAUCCACACUGGGACUGAGACACGGCCCAGACUCCUACGGGAGGCAGCAGUGGGGAAUAUUGGACAAUGGGCGAAAGCCUGAUCCAGCAAUGCCGCGUGAGUGAUGAAGGCCUUAGGGUUGUAAAGCUCUUUUACCCGGGAUGAUAAUGGCAGUACCGGGAGAAUAAGCUCCGGCUAACUCCGUG